rnacentral:rRNA from 1 species
AACGUAGGACACAAGCGUUAUCCGGAGUUACUGGGCGUAAAGGGCGUGUAGGCGGACGUGUAAGUCUAUUCUGAAAGCUCCUGGCUAAACUGGGAGAGGCGAAUGGAGACUGCAUAUCUAGAGUGAGGAAGAGGAAAGUGGAAUUCCGCGUGUAGUGGUGAAAUGCGUAGAUAUGCGGAGGAACACCGAUGGCGAAGGCAAUCCCCUGGGCCUGCACUGACGCUCAUGCACGAAAGCGUGGGGAGCAAACAGG